ACUUUGCUUUCUUGUUUCAGUAAAAAAUCUCAGAAGUGGGAUGAAAUGAACAUCAUAGCGACGUACCACCCUGCAGGCAAAGAUUAUGGCUUGAUGAAAAUAGAUGAGCCGAGUACUCCUUAUCACAGCAUGGUAGGUGAUGAUGAUGAAGAUGCAGUGAGUGAUUCGGAAUCAAAUGAGCCCUUAAGAGCAGAUGUGUUGAGUAAGAAGCUGGCUGCUGCAGCUGAGGGUAAAGGACCCAAGGUUAUAGCGAGGCAAGAGGAAAGCAGUGAGGAGGAGGAAGAGGAAGAAGAAUUAACACCUGAAGAACGAGAAAAAAAGAAACAGUUUGAAAUGAAGAGGAAAAUGCACUACAAUGAAGGACGAAACAUCAAACUUGCAAGACAGCUAAUUGCAAAAGAACUACAUGGUGAGGAUGAAGAGGAGGAGGAAGAAGAUGAAGAGAUGCGUGAUGCUCCAGAUGUAGAAACAAUGAAUACAGAAGCUAUUGAACAUGGGGAAAGGAGUACUCCAGUAGGCAACAUUAUGACCUUUCUCCGUGGCUUGAAGCUGCCAUCUGUCUGCACUGUGCUGUAAAACAGAGGCAACUCCGCUCUCCAGCUGCAUUCUCCAGGGAACAGAAGGCACACCUUUGCAGUAUUUUUCCAUCUCUAUUGUUGAAGUCCAUUCCAUCCUGGCUCAUAAGCAGCUUCUGAGCCACAACUGACUGAGAUUUCUUGCUGAUUGAAAUGAAGAUGGCCAGUCCAGUCAGUAAUGCACAUGCUACUCAUGACCAGCUGGAAAGCAGAGCACGCAGCAUAGAAGAAAUCUGUCCAGAACUGUAACUGCUUGUCAGAGACACGAACAUAAGCACUGCUUCAUGACUUUCGCAAAUAAGGCUCUUAAAUAUUAAGAAGCAUAUCAGUUACAAUGUUGUGUUGCCAAGGUUGUUAAUUUUAGACUUGUCCAUUAGGCAGGAAAAGCUGUCUAAUUGAUUUAUUCCUGUGCCUAGUAUUUCAUGGAGAAUACUGCUUCAUAAUCUGUUCAACCAGAAUGGCGUUCCCUGUAUGUAUAAUGCUGAUUAUCUUGCGUAAUGUACUGUUACUCUUCAUGCUUUGAAACACAGACAGUGUCUCUGUUUUUUCACUAUUUAUUUGACAGUGCUCUAAGUGUGGUAUCUCUUAUGGAAGAGUUUGGGAUUCAAGAGCUUAACGGUACAGCAUAUAUCAAAUUGACACGCAAGCUAUUUAUCAGGUUUGUUAAGCAGUUGAGAAAGGGAUUCAAGUUUUACGGCUUUUUUAUAAAAUAUUGACCUCUUAAACUAGACUUCAGUGUAUUGUUACUUGUAUUUUCCUAGACUCUAGAAGAAGAGUUGUGUAAUUUUUCAGAGCAGUGUUUGGAAUCGGUUUUUUGCUUUUGACUGAGGCAGUACUAACAUCUGGUGGAGGGAGUGUUUUACACUGGAAAUGUGCUAACUUGAACUUUACUGUCACUUUCUCUUCCACUGGAUGUUUUCUUUUCUUAAAACCACACCAACUGUUAUUCUUUGGGCUCGUUUCACGCUUUUAGUCUUUUCCAGUUGCAUGGAGAGUGCCUGUGCUGCUAGCACCUGUGAAGAAACAGCCAUGGAGGGAAAUCCACAUCAGGACCGAAGUUGGGCUGUGUUUAGACUCUGUUCUCUAUAUCAGGAUAACUGCUGGUGAUCUAUCUUACUUGGGGUUUGUAACCUGAAUACUGAAAACCACUGGUCUACAUCUUUCUGCAUCCGGUGAGAUGUAGAGCAGCUGCUUUUGUACAGUGAAGGGUGUUUGAAAGGAUACAGAAGGGAAACUGCCUAAUUCAGAUACUUGUUUACAGUGCAGUCGUAGAGCCUUUGCAAAGAGUGGCUCUGAACCUCCAUAUUGCUGUAAGCAGCGACGGAAUUUGACUGGUGAAUGUUCUAGUACUCAGAAUAGUUCCUGGGCUUUAUUACACGAAGUAUACACUUAAGCUUAAGCUUGGUUAUGAAAUACAGUGUAUAUCUUAAUUUUAGUCCGAAUUUGAUAUGUUGCAAAAAUCCAUAUAAUUAAAUAUGGAUCUAUUUUAAAAUGUUUUUGUCCACUGUAUAUGUGACGUUUGAAUAAAGGAAUGAAAGUUAUUUUACAGAUA